UAAUGCGUAAAAUCUGAUUCUUCUGAAGCUUUUAGGUAAAAGUUUCACAACUUUCUUUUUUCACAGAGGAAAGGAUUCCGAAGAAGAUUUAAAGAGAGGAUAUGGAAACGGUAAUUAAGGCUAAGACUGGGCGAAGACUUCCAGAAUGUCCGUUGUACUUACUUUUGCAUCUUUGGAUACCGAUCCCCAGUUUCCUGUCUCAAGAUCCAGUUUUCCUUCCCCAAUCCGCUUCAAGAUAACAUCCGGAUCAUCGGACGGACCAUUGGCAAAUGGUGUUGCACUAAAACAACGUAACGACCUCAAGGUCAUCUAUUCCGCUCUUUUCAUUCCAUCUCUUCAAGUCUAAUGGCCAUUGAUUUGAAUGUCAAACAUUACAUCACUUACCCGGCGAGCAUGAUGAACAAUAGAAUCCCAAGGCUCCAGACGUCGCACGCAGCAUCAUACCCUUGACGUUUGAGAACUUCGGGGGCCACAAAAUUGGCCGUAUAACAAGGUGUCAUGAGAAGCCCAUUCUCUGCUCGAAGUUGCUUGGCAAAGCCAAAGUCACAGAUUCGCAGAGUGUCGGGGUCGCCUCGAUCGUUCGCAUAAAGAAUAUUGGCUGGCUUGAGAUCGCGGUGAACAACCUAAAGCAAAGAAUGACCAUUACCAGACACCACUUACAACUUACAAAGAGUUGGCAAUAAUACGUAAUUUGGCCUCGUUGGCCCUCGGAUUAAUCGUGAAAAUAGACCAUCUUUUGUGUGG